UGAGGAAUAUUGGUCAAUGGGCGGGAGCCUGAACCAGCCAAGUCGCGUGAGGGAAGACGGCCCUAUGGGUUGUAAACCUCUUUUGCAGGGGAGCAAAGGAUGCCACGUGUGGCAUGAUGAGAGUACCCUGAGAAAAAGCAUCGGCUAACUCCGUGCCAGCAGCCGCGGUAAUACGGAGGAUGCGAGCGUUAUCCGGAUUUAUUGGGUUUAAAGGGUGCGCAGGCGGACUGUCAAGUCAGCGGUAAAAUCGUGGGGCUCAACCCCGCCGAGCCGUUGAAACUGGCAGUCUUGAGUGGGCGAGAAGUGUGCGGAAUGCGUGGUGUAGCGGUGAAAUGCAUAGAUAUCACGCAGAACUCCGAUUGCGAAGGCAGCACACCGGCGCCCAACUGACGCUCAGGCACGAAAGCGUGGGGAUCAAACAGG
rnacentral:rRNA from 1 species